rnacentral:rRNA from 1 species
ACAUAUGUGAAGAGUGGCGAACGGGUGAGUAAUACAUAAGUAACCUGGCCUUUACAGGGGGAUAACUAUUGGAAACGAUAGCUAAGACCGCAUAGGUGUCAUAACCGCAUGGAGAUGAUAUGAAAUAUGCUACGGCAUAGGUAGAGGAUGGACUUAUGGCGCAUUAGCUAGUUGGAGGGGUAACGGCCCACCAAGGCGACGAUGCGUAGCCGACCUGAGAGGGUGACCGGCCACACUGGGACUGAGACACGGCCCAGACUCC